rnacentral:rRNA from 1 species
AUUGUUUUUUGUUUUUAUUUUUUGGUAUUGCAUACCAGUGGAGGAUUUUAUCAUAAUUAAUGAAUAAUAGAAUUAAAAUGUUAAAUUUGACUUUUUUUUAUUUUUACGAAAUAAAUAAUAGUUAAUUUGGUAUUUAUAUAACGAGUUUCUAUUUCUGUUUUUUUUUGUUUAUUGUUAAGUUAUUUUUUGUUUUUUUUUUGUUUUUAAAAUUUUUUUAUUGUUUAUUGAAUGUUGUGUUAUACAUAGAUAUUUAUUAUUUUUUCUUUUUAUUUUUGUAAUUAAUUUUUUAAUUAUUGGAUAAUCUUUACUUUAGUAAUUUUCUGUAAGUGUUGUUUUUUUUUUUAUUUUUAUUUUUGAACUAGAUUUAUUGCUAAAUGUUUAUUAAAAACUUAGGUUUUUUUAUAAAGCUGUCUUCUGCUCUAUGACGAUUGUUAAAUGGCAGCCUUAGCGUGAUGGCAUAAAAGUAGCGUAAGUGAUUUGUUUUUUUAUUGAUUUCAAGUAUGAAUGAAGUUUUUAGCAAUUUUUUUGUUUUUAUUUUUUUUGAAUUAUUUUUUUAAUUAAAAAUUAUUAAUUAGAGUAUUACAAAGAUAAGUCUUCGGAAAUUUUUUUUUAAAUUUAAUAAUUUUUUUUUAUUAUUUUUAAUAUUUUCUUGGGGUUGGAUUUUAAGAAAUUUUUAAACUAUUUUUAUUUUUAAAAAUUACUCCGGAGUUAACAGGGUAGCAGACAUAUAAGUAGGUUUUUAUAUUAAUGUGCUGCGCUACAUCGAUGUUGUAUAUUUUUUAUUCAAAGUGAGAGAAUUUUUUUUUUGAGACUGUUCUUCUUGUAUAAAAAUAAAACUUGAUAUUAGUUUAGUUCGUCGUGAGACAGAGCGGUUUAUCUUGUAUAUUUUUUGUUUUUGCUAGAAUUAGUACGAAAGGAACGUUAUAGGGGUUAAUAUUUAUGACUUUUAUGUUUUGAUGAGUUUUUAC